rnacentral:rRNA from 1 species
CCUACGGGAGGCAGCAGUGAGGAAUAUUGGUCAAUGGCCGGAAGGCUGAACCAGCCAAGCCGCGUGAGGGAGGAAGGCGCAGAGCGUCGCAGACCUCUUUUGCCGGGGGACAAAAGGCCGGACGGGUCCGGUUCUGAGGGUACCCGGAGAAAAAGCAUCGGCUAACUCCGUGCCAGCAGCCGCGGUAAUACGGAGGAGGCGAGCGUUAUCCGGAUUCAUGGGGUUUAAAGGGUGCGCAGGCGGGCCUGUAAGCCGGCGGUGAAAUCGGGGGGCUCAACCCCGCCCAGCGGUCGGAACUGGGGGCCUGGAGUGCGGGGGAGGCAGGCGGAAU